rnacentral:rRNA from 1 species
ACGUAGGGUGCGAGCGUUAAUCGGAAUUACUGGGCGUAAAGCGUGCGCAGGCGGUUCGCUGUGUCCUGUGUGAAAGCCCCGGGCUCAACCUGGGAAUGGCAUGGGAAACUGGCGGGCUGGAGUGUGGCAGAGGGGGGUGGAAUUCCGCGUGUAGCAGUGAAAUGCGUAGAGAUGCGGAGGAACACCGAUGGCGAAGGCAGCCCCCUGGGCCAACACUGACGCUCAGGCACGAAAGCGUGGGGAGCAAACAGGAUUAGAUACCCUGGUAGUCCACGCCCUAAACGAUGUCGACUAGGUGUUGGGGAAGCGAUUCCUUGGUACCGAAGCUAACGCGUGAAGUCGACCGCCUGGGGAGUACGGCCGCAAGGUUA